AUUGAACGCUGGCGGCAUGCCUUACACAUGCAAGUCGAACGGUAACGGGCCUUCGGGUGCCGACGAGUGGCGAACGGGUGAGUAAUGUAUCGGAACGUACCUUUCAGUGGGGGAUAACGUAGCGAAAGUUACGCUAAUACCGCAUAUUCUGUGCGCAGGAAAGCAGGGGACCUUCGGGCCUUGCGCUGAUUGAGCGGCCGAUAUCAGAUUAGCUAGUUGGUGAGGUAAAGGCUCACCAAGGCGCAGAUCUGUACCGGGUCUGAGAGGAUGAUCCGCCACAAUGGAACUGGGACACGGUCCAGACUCCUACGGGAGGCAGCAAUGGGGAAUUUUGGACAAUGGGGGCAACCCUGAUCCAGCCAUGCCGCGUGAGUGAAGAAGGCCUUCGGGUUGUAAAGCUCUUUCGGCCGGGAAGAAAUCGUAUCAGCUAAUACCUGGUGCGGAUGACGGUACCGGCAUAAGAAGCACCGGCUAACUACGUGCCAGCCGCCGCCGUAAAAC
rnacentral:rRNA from 1 species